UGGGGAAUAUUGCACAAUGGGCGCAAGCCUGAUGCAGCCAUGCCGCGUGUAUGAAGAAGGCCUUCGGGUUGUAAAGUACUUUCAGUCGGGAGGAAGGUGGUAAGGUUAAUAACCUUAUCAAUUGACGUUACCGACAGAAGAAGCACCGGCUAACUCCGUGCCAGCAGCCGCGGUAAUACGGAGGGUGCAAGCGUUAAUCGGAAUUACUGGGCGUAAAGCGCACGCAGGCGGUUGAUUGAGUCAGAUGUGAAAUCCCCGGGCUUAACCCGGGAAUUGCAUCUGAUACUGGUCAGCUAGAGUCUUGUAGAGGGGGGUGGAAUUGCAGGUGUAGCGGUGAAAUGCGUAGAGAUGUGGAGGAAGACCGGUGGCGAAGGCGGCCCCCUGGACAAAGACUGACGCUCAGGUGCGAAAGCGUGGGGAGCAAACAGG
rnacentral:rRNA from 1 species